rnacentral:lncRNA from 1 species
AUGCAGUAUCCUCUAACGUCUUUGCUUGGAAUUCCGGUGUUCAGCCCGCGGCUGAAGCAGAGAACCGCACAUCUUCCCUCGAGCAAGGAGAGGGUCUCGGAGCACAUAGAGGAGCAGUCUGUUUAUAAGGACUUUUUGAGGGAUCGCUUUCAGCUGGAUCGAGCUCUCAUGCUGAUCGGAGGAAUGCCAAUCUCUCUUUCUUUUCUGAGAAAGCACUAUUUUUCUCUUUGUUGCAAAGUCGUCUUAUGA